ACGAUACUUUCAUUAUCUGGAAAAUUCAGAGAACUCCACUUGAAUCGACCAUAGAGUUUUUCAUUAUCUCUCGUCUCUGAUUACUUUGAAUCUUUCAUCAUUCUCUAUCGGAAUUCAUAUCCGGGAAAUCAAAUUUCGAUUCGAUUCUGUAGUUUUUCUUUUCUAUCUCGUGAUACUCGUAAAUCGGCUCCAGAACGAAGAAAUAAUCGAUCAUUAUGUUGUCUCUCUGAUUCAAUAACUUGGUUUUAUAAAUAAUUUAGAUUUGAUUUGAUGUUAUGAUGGAUUCGUAGAAAUUGUUUGGUAGGGUUUUUGGAUAGAGUCUUCGGUGAGGAAUCUCCAAUUUCAGAAAUUUUAGCUCGAUUCGAAGGUAAUUUCUAAUCAGAUUUUGAUUGCUUUGAUCUCUUUUAAUUUUGGAAGAACUUGUGGUGUCACUCGAUAUUUGGUCUCUAAUUUGCUACUUAGUCAAAUCAUUUUCCUUGUUUUGACGAUGAACUUUCAGAUGGAAUCUGUUAUGCAUGUGAAAUGGGAGUUUGGGAAUGAAAUGGUAGAUUAUGCAGUUCUGACCUAAUUAAACUGUAAAGCUAAUUUUUUGAUAAAAUAACUUCACAGAAUAUACAGCGUAAGCACGAUGAUCAUAUGUUUACUAUAUCUUAUGAUCAUAUGUUUACAGAAUAUACAGCGUAAGCACGAUGAUCAUAUGUGAACAUUACAUAUUUUGUUUUUUUGAUUGGUGCUCAAAUUAUAAUACAAAUCAAACUAUGUGAUAUUUGCAGAGAUGCAAGAGGAAAGACGACAUUUAUAUGAUUCCUUAUGUUGAUCCUACAACUAGCUUGUCUUAAAAGAUUGAGGCAAGACGAGACAUGCUUCAACCAAGUCUAAGGAGAGCUUCUUAUUGCAUCUUACAUGAGACGGGAUCGAGGUUAAUCGAAGAGGGAACCAGAGUACAUGAGGGUUGUUACAAAGACGGGAGCUUUUUUUGAAGAGUACUACAAAUAUGUAGGCAAUAUUGUGUGUUGUGCAUAAGAUAGAAAACAGAGUUGCUUUCUGUGUAAUAAGUAAUAACAUAUUAAUUAUUUAAUUUAUAAUCAAUAAUUUGAUUAUUUGGAAUCAUGUUUUGUAAAUCCUAGUGGAAUCACAUUUUUACAAAUUUUUGUA